rnacentral:rRNA from 1 species
GACGAACUGUCCUAACGUUGUUCGGAAUCACUGGGCUUAAAGGGCGCGUAGGCGGUCCUACAAGUCAAGGGUGAAAUCCUGCAGCUUAACUGCAGAAGUGCCUUUGAUACUGUCGGUCUUGAGGGAGAUAGGGGUGUGCGGAACUUCCAGUGGAGCGGCGAAAUGCGUUGAUAUUGGAAGGAACGCCGGAGGCGAAAGCGGCGCACUGGAUCUCUUCUGACGCUGAGGCGCGAAAGCUAGGGGAGCAAACGGG